CCUACGUGCGGCAGCAGUGAGGAAUAUUGGUCAAUGGGCGCGAGCCUGAACCAGCCAAGUAGCGUGAAGGAUGACUGCCCUACGGGUUGUAAACUUCUUUUAUAAAGGAAUAAAGUGAGGCACGUGUGCCUUUUUGUAUGCACUUUAUGAAUAAGGAUCGGCUAACUCCGUGCCAGCAGCCGCGGUAAUACGGAGGAUCCGAGCAUUAUCCGGAUUUAUUGGGUUUAAAGGGAGCGUAGAUGGGUUGUUAAGUCAGUUGUGAAAGUUUGCGGCUCAACCGUAAAAUUGCAAUUGAUACUGGCAGUCUUGAGUACAGUUGAGGUAGGCGGAAUUUGUGGUGUAGCGGUGAAAUGCUUAGAUAUCACGAAGAACUCCGAUUGCGAAGGCAGCUUACUAAACUGCCACUGACAUUGAUGCUCGAAAGUGUGGGUAUCAAACAGGAUUAGAUACCCCAGUAGUC
rnacentral:rRNA from 1 species